rnacentral:rRNA from 1 species
UACAGAGGUCUCAAGCGUUGUUCGGAUUCAUUGGGCGUAAAGGGUGCGUAGGUGGCGAGGCAAGUUGGAUGUGAAAUCCCGGGGCUCAACCCCGGAACUGCAUUCAAUACUGCCUUGCUAGAGUACUGGAGAGGAGAUUGGAAUUUACGGUGUAGCAGUGAAAUGCGUAGAUAUCGUAAGGAAGACCAGUGGCGAAGGCGGAUCUCUGGACAGUUACUGACACUGAGGCACGAAGGCCAGGGGAGCAAACGGG